GCUCGCUCGGCCGCCCAGCUCCCACCUGCGCCUCUCCGCGGCCCCUCUCCACCGGCCGCUGGGCCCGGAUCCCUUCGGCGCCCCUCUGCACCCACCCCCACGCGCCCUCCACUCGGCUCAGAUCUACCUCCGCGCCUCUCCGCGACCCCGGAACCCCGCGCCCUGUCCGGCCCAUUCCCAGCCGGAUAGACCGCGCUCCCCUCUGUCCGACCUUGGCAACUCCUGCGCGCCCCCUCCCCACCUCUAGUCGCCCCUCGGAGCCGCUUGGUUUCGGGAUCCACCCGCAUCCACCCCUCCAACAACCCUUUCGUAGCCCUCGCCCCUAGUCCAUAGCAGGCGCUGCCCUACCCAGUCCUUGCCGGACACACCGCGACCCCUUUCGUGCUCCCUUGACAACCCUGGCCCCACCUCCACCUGGCGCCCACUCGAAUCCGCCCCUCCCUUCUACCCCCCUGGACCGCCAGACCCCCCGCUUCUGCACCCACUCCCGCCUUCGCCCUUCCCUCCUUCCUCCUCCUCCUCUGCUGCCGAGCGCCCUCUCUUCCCACUCCCUCUCUGUGUAGAAUCACAGGGAGUGACCUUGAGCCGAGAGGGCCUACCUCAUUUUACAGGAGAGGAAAUCCAGCUUCCAUUGAGUGAGACUCUUUUAUAAAUAACGUAAAAGAGUGUGUGAAACUGUGGAGGCAGGCUGUUGUAGAUAGGCGGUCGGAAAAGCUUUGAAGAGAUGGCAUGUGUGCUGAGUGCUUAAUUAGAAUAUGGAAGAGAGAGACAUGGGCCCUUCCUAUGUCCAGUUUUAGGAAAAGGCCCUAAAACUGGAGGUUUGGCAUGUUUCAAGAAUGGAAACAGAGGACAAAAACGUUCGAGUGAGUAUCAUUUUGCCUGUAAAAUGGGCAUAGAGGAGUAGAAUGGAGGAGUUAAAAUAAUGUAGUACUUAGUGCAAUGCCAGCUACGGGGUCAAUGUUCAAUAAUGGUUGUCCAUUUAUCAUCAUUGCUUUGUCCCGGACACUAUGCUAAGGCAGAAAGAAGGCUCUCUGAAAAUAAAACACAGUUACCAUUCUCCUCAGAGGUCCAGAACUGAUUUCAAAGAAGAUAGAAAUGACUUCAGGGUGAGACAGUCAGUGAAUCGUAGCUGAGUGAAUGGAUGGGGGAUUUCAAUAGGUAGACAGCCUGGUACUUAGAAAAGGCAUUAGCCUUUAUACUUUCUGGUGUGGAAAAGAAAGAAAGAAAAUACAUACCUUGUACAUUUUUUUUUCUUUGAGACAGAGUUUUGCUCUUGUUGCCCAGGCUGGAGUGCAAUCGGCUCACGGCAACCUCUGCCUCCCGGGUUCAAGUGAUUCUCCUGCCUCAGCCUCCCGAGUAGCUGGGAUUACAGGCACACGCUACCGCACCCGGCUAAUUUUAUAUUUUUAGCAGAGACAGGGUUCCUUCAUGUUGCUUAGACUGGUCUGAAACUCCCGACGUCAGGUGAUCCACCCGCCUUGGCCUUCCAAAGUGCUGGGAUUACAGAUGUGAGCCACCGCGCCCGGCCUCGUUUUG
rnacentral:lncRNA from 10 species